UAACUGGAGGGGAAGUGGGGAUGACGUCAAGUCAUCAUGGCCCUUACGACCAGGGCUACACACGUGCUACAAUGGCGCAUACAAAGAGAAGCGACCUCGCGAGAGCAAGCGGACCUCAUAAARUGCGUYGUAGUCCGGAUUGGAGUYUGCAACUCGACUCCAUGAAGUYGGAAUCGCUAGUAAUCGUGGAUCAGAAUGCCACGGUGAAUACGUUCCCGGGCCUUGUACACACCGCCCGUCACACCAUGGGAGUGGGUUGCAAAAGAAGUAGGUAGCUUAACCUUCGGGAGGGCGCUUACCACUUUGUGAUUCAUGACUGGGGUGAAGUCGUAACARGRACA
rnacentral:rRNA from 1 species